UACACCUCUACCCACCAAGAAAUUUUUGGGUGCCGACCGGGCACCACGUGGUGCCCGAACAGUGUAUCUGGAUUGUCUAUUUUGAUUUUGAACGGCUCGAAUUUGGAGAGAGAAAGAGGAAAGAGAGGAUUUCAAUCUGGUUCGGAUUGUUCUCAUCGUGUUCUUGGUGUCCAGAGUAGUCAUUGAGCUGGUCUUGUACAAUCGUCCUUAUCCUUUAUUCCGGAAACAGCUUUGGUUACAAAAUAUAGCGCGAGCAACAUGAUCAGCUACCAGCACAAGAAAAAACAUACAGAAGUCGUAUGCAGUGCAUUCAAUUUUCAAGCAGCAGCAACGACAACAACAGCCUUCGUCGAUAUCCAUCUCAUAUUCUCCUCCUUUCAGAGCAGUCACUGAUUCAACACAAUUGAAUGUGGAGGAGAUCAGUGUCCGUCUUGCGGUUGUCAGCCUCAUCUCAUCCUUUUUUUUUUUUGAACAAAAAAUAAGAUUGUAUUGAUCUUUGGAUCGAAAGUUUCAAAGAUCAAACAGAUAGGGAGUAAGAUGGCAUCACAAAGUAUGGAAAAAGAAGCUUUUCAACAAAAUUGGCUUCAGACCGCUCGACAAUCAUCCUUGCGGCUCUCUGAACACUAUUGCCUCCUUAUUUUAGUUCAUAACUUGAAAAUCAUUGCGCAGAGGUAAAGAAUUUUGACAUUAAAAUCUAUAAAUUAACCAAGAGUAAGCCCACAUAAAUGUUCAAGCAUCGGCAGGAUAUAUCUUUCGCAAGCAGGUUUUACGUUCAUCGGAGCUUGCUCAAAUGUCCUGAA